rnacentral:rRNA from 1 species
GGAGCAAACAGGAUUAGAUACCCUGGUAGUCCACGCUGUAAACGAUGUCGAUUUGAAGGUUGUUCCCUUGAGGAGUGGCUUUCGGAGCUAACGCGUUAAAUCGACCGCCUGGGGAGUACGGCCGCAAGGUUAAAACUCAAAUGAAUUGACGGGGGCCCGCACAAGCGGUGGAGCAUGUGGUUUAAUUCGAUGCAACGCGAAGAACCUUACCUACUCUUGACAUCCAGAGAAUUUAGCAGAGAUGCUUUAGUGCCUUCGGGAACUCUGAGACAGGUGCUGCAUGGCUGUCGUCAGCUCGUGUUGUGAAAUGUUGGGUUAAGUCCCGCAACGAGCGCAACCCUUAUCCUUUGUUGCCAGCGAUUCGGUCGGGAACUCAAAGGAGACUGCCGGUGAUAAACCGGAGGAAGGUGGGGAUGACGUCAAGUCAUCAUGGCCCUUACGAGUAGGGCUACACACGUGCUACAAUGGCGUAUACAAAGAGAAGCGACCUCGCGAGAGCAAGCGGAACUCAUAAAGUACGUCGUAGUCCGGAUUGGAGUCUGCAACUCGACUCCAUGAAGUCGGAAUCGCUAGUAAUCGUAGAUCAGAAUGCUACGGUGAAUACGUUCCCGGGCCUUGUACACACCGCCCGUCACACCAUGGGAGUGGGUUGCAAAAGAAGUAGGUAGCUUAACCUUCGGGAGGGCGCUUACCACUUUGUGAUUCAUGA